UCAGGGCGUCCGGAGCCUCCACGCGGGCAGUGGCGGCGCGAGUUGUGCGCGGGCGUCGUGUGGGAGGCCGGACUCAGGGUCCCGCCAGAUUUGCUGCCUUUCAGGAGACGCGCGGCCGGUGUGUUCCUGGACGUUCGUGGUUCUGCAUUUGGGCCUUUCCCUUCAGGUCUUGCUGUGUCUACGCCCACCCUGGUCGUCUUGUUGGAGCAAAACAUGGGAGUGCUGGGAUAUGAAGAGAAGUGCAAAUCCCGUCAUCCUCCCAGAUGUCCACACUGGAUUACCUGACUCAAGACAACCCGCCAAAUCAGGGCAGACAUUUGUGGCAAGUUCUUACCGCCAACCGCAAAUUAUCAACCAAUGAGACAUCUGACUUAGGGAAAAAAGGCAAUUUGGACUCAAUUCAUCGUUUGAACCACAAUAUCAAAAAUGGAAACAUUUCAGCAAUGAUGGCUGACAUGGGCCUCCCCGGUGGUGCAACGGUUGAGCGCUGGGUUGCAAAGCUGCCCGCAGUCUCUGCAGUGCCGGUUCAAUCCCCGGCCACCAGUUCAUGUAGUGAUUAUGUAGCUGUUCCUGUUGCUGUUGGUUCUCGUGUCCUCUUGGUUCCUGGGUGAUGCUGUUCGUAUCCAAGGUAGCUGUCUGUCUACAUGGUACAUGGCAUUUUGCAUUGGGGUGUGAGAAGAUUCACCAGAGACAGAGUGGAGAGCAGAACAGGCAGAUGUGCUGAAAUACACUACUGAGGGGAGCAGAUGGUGAGGCAGGAGAGGUCUGAUGUCUUCUGUGGGGGUCAGGUAUCGAACUCUUACUGCAGUGGCUAGCCAUAGCUUGAUAGUGCUGUCUUUAACCCUUGCGCCACCAGGGAGGCCCCCAGAUGUGGUUUUUUUUUUUUUUAAGAUUUAUUCAUUUACAAGAACCGGGGUACAGGCCAGAUGCACGGGAGGGUGAGAGGAUCCACCAGAGACAGAGCAGGGAACGGAACAGGCAGACUGGUGAUAUAGACUGCUGAGGGGAGCAGUGGGUGGCAGGAGAGGUCUGUGCACGAUGUGGGACCCUCCUCUGGUGGCCGGGGAGCAGCCGGGGAUCGAACUGGCGCUGCAAAGGCUGCGGGCAGCUUCACAACCCAGCGCUCAAUCGCUUUGCCACCAGUGAGGCCCCAAAAAUUCACCCACCUUGUUUAAUGAAGCUUUGGCUCAAGACUUGAUGCCUUUUCAGAGCAGUCACCCCCACCUAACACUUCUUCAAUAUGUAGAUGAUGUCUUUCUAGCUGCCUCCAGCCAGGAGCUAUGCGUCAGUGGCACAGAAAAACUUCUCACCACCUUGUAGACGCUAGGUUAUCAGGCCAGUGCAAAAAAGGCUCAAAUCUGCUGUCAACAGGUCACCUAUUUGGGGUACCGACUCAAGGAAGGAAAACGGUGGCUCACUGAAGCCAUGAUAUGCACCAUUUUGGACACUCCUCCGCCCAUGAGCAGGCAUAAGGAAGAAAACUGCCAAAGUCGUCUGUAAGGCUCUACUAGAAGACAUAAUACCCCAGUAUGGAGUUCCACAAGGUUGACGGGAUCUCGGCUUGGAUUCAUUACACCCAUGCGCGGGCUGUAACGGGAGCAGAAGUCAACACCAGCUGGAACAGUGGGAGGUUAAGGCAGACCCUUCCAACCUGCUACGCGUCAGACUCAAACUCCGCCAGCACCCGGACCAAUUCCCAGUGACUGAUCCGAACAAGCCUUCCACCGAGUAAGCCGGCACAAUGACCAGACUGUUCCUGCUCCUGCUGACCCUUCAAAUUGUAUGUGCCUCUCCCCACUCACCCUCUCAGGUGAACCCACAUACCCCGUGGAACGUCACAUGGACUCUUAGCAAUACAAAUACUGGAAAAACAGCUGUCCGAAUCACGCACCUAGCUCCCUGGGGUCUUGGUAUCUGGAUAUAAUUUUUGACCUCUGCGGCCUAGGAGAUGGAAAAUGGGGUAAGUCUGUUCAGGACCCAUCCUGACUAGUCUGGGCCUGCAACAGUGCCAAUGGGCGGAGCCAGAUUAGAAAAAGUUACUUUUACCUUUGCCCGGGACACAAGGGGCGGGCCACCCGCAUCUGUGGAGACCCAAGAGAUUACUACUGUGCAUCUUGGAGCUGUGUCUCCACCGGUUAUAUUUCCUGGACAGCGCCAAAAACAGGGGAUUUUAUUCAGGUUGGCAAGACCCCAGGAUCAGAAACACUGGGUUAUGGCUUUCAUUGGGGGGAGUGGGGGGCAGGUGGGCCUUGUUUGACGAGGGAUUGCACCUCUGUCCUUAAAUUUACCCAGUUAGGUAGAUACCCCAAGCUGCUCCCACAAUGGACUAAAGGAAUGACCUGAGGACUCAAGACUCUAUGCACCUGGCAUAGAUCCGGGUGUCUUGUUUACUCUGAGGGUUUAUGUUCAUUCACGUCAAGAACCCUUGCCACCCAUCCUGCCAGUGGGACCUAAUAAAGUCCUAGGUAAAAUCUUAGGACCAGGUAAGACCCUAGGUCCAUCCCAUCCCCCAGAGCUCGUCACUCUGGCAACCACUGCCUUCUCUCCCUCCUUGAGGUCAGCACCUACCCCGAGCAACUUCCAACGCCCAGUCACACAAAUAGUACAGGCUGCUUAAUCGCCUGAGACUGACCCUUUCCUUGGAAUGCUUGGGCAUGUGUUUCAGGUGUUUAAUGCUUCUCGGCCUGUCUUGACUUCUUCGUGCUGGCUGUGUUAUGACUCAGCCCCUCCCUUCUAUGAAGGAAUCGCUGUCUUUGGAAAUCUCUCCACCUCUAUAAAGGACAGUGGCUGUCGAUGGCAGCAAAAGGCCAAAUUAACCCGGCAACAAGUAUCCAGGCAAGGUCUAUGCGUUGGAGCUGUGCCCCAGUCCCAUGAACAACUAUGCACUCAGUAUGUGACCCUUAGCCCUAACAUGUUCCACUCAUAUAUACUCCCUCCCUUAGACGCUUGGUGGGCGUGUUCCACGGGCCUGACCCCUUGUAUUCAUGGGACAGUCCUAAAUCAGACCCGUGACUUUUGCAUCCUUGUGCAAUUAGUUCCCAAAAUGGUUUACCAUCCAUAUGAUAGCCUCCUUGAUUCUCUGGAGAAAACCACUGGGCCCACAUCCAAGCGGGCUAAGAGGAAACCAAUUACUGCCCUCACUCUCAGUGUAAUUUUGGGUGCCAGUCUAGUAGGGGCCGGUACUGGAACUGCUUCCUUGAUCUCCCAAAAUCACCAGUAUUCCCGCCUACGGGUGGCUGUUGACAUAGACAUUGAAAGACUGGAAGUCUCCAUUUCCCACUUGCAGGAUUCCCUAUCCUCUUUAGCUGAGGUGGUGUUACAAAACCACCGAGGACUGGACCUUAUUCUCUUACAGCAAGGUGGGCUAUGUGCAGCUCUAGGGGAAGAAUGCUGCUUUUAUGUUAACCAUUCAGGGAUUGUUAAGGAAUCCCUUGCUAAAGUAAGGGAAGGUUUAGCUAAAUGAAAAAAAGAGCAAGAGGCUCAGCAGAGGUGGUUUGAAUCUUGGUUUAAUGCCUCCCCAUGGCUAACGACCCUAUUGUCAGCCAUUGCGGGACCUUUAAUUUUGCUCAUGCUAAUGCUAACAUUUGGCCCUUGUAUACUCAAUCACUUGCUUGCUUUCAUCUGCGAACGAGUUAACACAGUACAGAUGCUGGUCUUAUGCAGCCAAUACCUGCAAGUAGAAGAAGUCCAACUGUGAGGCUAGGAUUAGCCUCCUCUCACAGUUACAAGAAAAAGGGGGGAUUGUAAGAUAUUAAAGAAUUAGGCAUAGCAAGACAGCAGCCAUUUUAAGGAAAACAGACAUUUUAAAGGGCACAGCUAUGCCCUAGUUUCAUUUCAGGGCAAAAACCACCAGACGGGUAAAAACCACAAGACAAGUGUAAAUGAAACUUAGCUAGUGCCAAGGAGAGAUAACCAAUCAGGCCGAACUUGGUCCCUGGUGUGAAAAGUCCCCGCAUCCUGUGAACAAAGUACAAAAACAGCUGGGUUGCUCUGGGAGGGGGUCCCUCUCUUAACCUGAUGAGACUGCUGUGUCAGUACACCAGGCAGAGUCAGACCCUAGCUUAAGCUAGCAAUAAAGCCUUUUUGCUUUUGCAUCUCUGGCUCCAUGUGGUCUUUGGGAACCCCGGACGGAGUUGAGGCGCCAACUCCUAACAGGAGAGACUCCAGGUGUACCACCAGACUCUAAUGGCAGGGUUGCGCGCGGCAGCCUGCAAACCCACCAAUUUGGCCAAGGUAGGGGAUGUGCGGCAGGGAAGGGAGGAGACCCCUGUGGCUUUUCUUGAGCACCUCAUGGAAGCUUUUCGGCAAUAUACUCCUAUGGAUCCGGAGGCAGAGGAAAACAAGGCCGUGGGUAAUGGCCUUUGUUAACAAGGCAGCUCCUGACAUUAAACAGAAAUUACAGAGAAUAGAUAGGCUAGGAGAAAAAUCUAUUUGAGAUCUUAUUGAGGUGGCGGAAAAGGUGUACAAUCUACGCGAAACUCCUGAGCUUAUCCGCCAGGAAGAACGGAAGGUAAGGGAGGCUGAAAAUGCACGCCAUGCUCGGGAUAUGGCCAGAAUACCAUUUGCCGUCACUUGAAAGAAUGACCCGGGUAAGCUACCCCCAUUCCACCACCCCAGCUCCACACGCAGGACUCUACAGCGUGAUCAGUGUGCAUACUGUACUCAGAAAGGACACUGGGCCAGAGAAUGCCCAAAGAAGCAGGGGAUGACCUCAAACAACACUGCUGUUUCUGACACUCCUGGUGCUCGGGGGCAUGAGGGAUGACAGUGACUAGGGCCGUCAGGACUCGACCCUCCCCGAGCCCAGGUUAACCUUAAAAGUGGAGGGAAGACCCGUUAAUUUCCUUGUGGACACAGGAGCACAGCAUUCAGUUCUCACCGAACCUUUGGGCAAGCUGUCCGACAACAGCAUGGGCACAAGGGGCUACAGGAUGCAAGCAGUAUCCUUGGACCACUAAAAGGUCCGUGGACUUGGAUAAAGGUCAGGUUUUGCACACCUUCGUUGUGAUCCCUGAAUGCCCGUACCCGUUAAUUGGAAGGGAUCUUUCAACCAAAGUAGGAGCACAAAUCUCAUUUGGACAGGAAAGAGUUGAAAUUAGAGACUCUAAAGGUUCUCCCCUGCAUGUCCUCACCGUUUCUCUUCAAGAUGAAUACCGCCUGUUGCUGACACCAGACCACCCACCCCUUUCCGAGUGGUGGAUAAAGUCCUUCUCAAAUGUUUGGGCAGAAACCGCAGGGAUUGGCCUGGCAUCCCACCGACCACCCAUUAUAGUCCAGCUAAAGGCAGGGGCUGAACCCAUUCGGGUAAAGCAAUACCCUAUGUCUGCAGAAGCCAGGUAGGAAUAACGCCUCAUAUUCGGAGGCUUCUGGACAGUGGUAUCCUUAAAACAUGUCAUUCUCAAUGGAACACCCCUUUACUGCCGGUGCGAAAACCACAUUCGCAAGACUUCUGGCCAGUACAAGACCUCAGCGAAGUAAAUAAAAGGGUCGUAGACAUCCACCCCACAGUCCCAAACCCUUAUACAUUGCUGUGUGCCCUGCCACCUACUCAUGUGUGGUACACGGUGUUGGACUUAAAAGAUGCCUACCACUUGCACCCCAAAGCCAGGAAAUGUUUGCCUUUGAAUGGCAGGAUGCAGAACGUGGUAUCUAUCAGUGGACAAUUAACUUGGACACGAUUACCUCAAGGGUUUAAAAACUCUCCCACCCUUUUUGAUGAGGCCCUUCAUGAGGAUUUGCAAGGAUUUCGCAGCUGGUUUCCUGAAUUAAUUUUGCUACAGUAUGUUGAUGAUCUGUUACGGCAGAGAGUGAGCAUGCCUGCCGGACAGGAACAGCCAAACUACUGACGGAAUUGGGCUGGAUGGGAUACCGCGUUUCUGCAAAAAAGGCGUAAAUCUGCUUGUCUGAGGUAACAUACCUGGGCUAUCGCCUCAAAGAAGGCCACGGGUGGCUGACAGAAGCCAGAAAAGCUACUGUGUUACAGUUGCCGACACCCGCCACCAAAAGAGCGGUACGUGAGUUCCUGGGAUCCGCCUGGUUUUGCCAGCUAUGGAUACCUGGGUUCGCAGACUUAGCUCAACCCUUAUAAGAGGCUACUUGGGAAAAAGUGACUUUUCAGUGAACUCCCCAGAUGCAGCAGUCCUUUGAGUCCUUAAAAAGGGCUUUACUGUCCGCACCAGCCUUGGAUCUUCCAGACAUUACAAAACCUUUCCAUCUGUUCAUAGACGAGGCAAAGGGCAUAGCUAAAGGGG